rnacentral:misc_RNA from 1 species
AAGUGAGAGUGGGUCGAGAAGUCAGAAUUAAUAGAGGAGUCGAAGAGUAGAGUUGUUAGAGUUAGCGUUGUCGAGUUGCAUUUCGAAGAGUAGAGUUGUUAGAGUUAGCGUCGUCGAGUUGCAUUGUUGAGAGUAGAGUUGUUAGCGUUGCGGAGUUCCGUGAGUAGCCAAGUUAGAAUAAGAUUGUUACUAUUAGUUCCAUAUUGAACAACCAUCGUUGUCUGUCUCAUUAAUAUCUGUAUAACUAAUUUAAAAUAAAAUAAAUAGUAUGAAAGAAAUUGUAUAUCUAAUACUUUCCGCGAUACUACACAUAUAACACAAACAAAGCAUGUCAAAUACCUAGG